rnacentral:rRNA from 1 species
AGAACGAACGCUGGCGGCAUGCCUAAUACAUGCAAGUCGAACGAACUCUUCGGAGUUAGUGGCGCACGGGUGCGUAACGCGUGGGAAUCUGCCCCUUGGUUCGGAAUAACAGUUGGAAACGACUGCUAAUACCGGAUGAUGACGAAAGUCCAAAGAUUUAUCGCCAAGGGAUGAGCCCGCGUAGGAUUAGCUAGUUGGUGAGGUAAAGGCUCACCAAGGCAACGAUCCUUAGCUGGUCUGAGAGGAUGAUCAGCCACACUGGGACUGAGACACGGCCCAGACUCCUACGGGAGGCAGCAGUAGGGAAUAUUGGACAAUGGGCGAAAGCCUGAUCCAGCAAUGCCGCGUGAGUGAUGAAGGCCUUAGGUUGUAAAGCUCUUUUACCCGAGAUGAUAAUGACAGUAUCGGGAAGAAUAAGCCCCGGCUAACUCCGUGCCAGCAGCCGC